UAAUCUUGCACGUAAUUCCCUCUUUUUUAUUGAUGUGUGGUUUUAUCGUUGUGAUUAGUUCCCUCUCUUUUUACUUUUUCAUGUCAGGUACUACAUGUACUUUUUGUGAUGGCAAGGGUAAAUUAGCAGCCAAUUUUGGUGCUAGCCAGAUCAAAGAUUUAUGUCCUAAAAAUGAUUUGCUCGGCUUCAUGCAAUUGAAUUGUUAUCACAUAUUUACGAGCAAGCUCAUAUUUAUAUCUCCAUGAUCUCUUAACAGCGAGAAAAGGGCUUACUGCUCCCCUCUAAACUCAUAUAUUUAUUGAUAAGUGCUGCAGUUUAUGUAUCUAUUUCUCUCUAGAGCUAGCUGAGUGGUCAACACUGAGGAAGAUGGGGAAGACAGAGCCAGCGAGGAAGAUGGCUCAGCCCUGCCACCGAUGCCCACCGGCCACUCCCGUCGGUCGCCAUCGUAGGAGGGGCGCACCAUCGAGGAGCAGCAGGGGAGGAGAAGAGGAUACACCGCCGGACUCCCUCUUCACUUUAUGGCCGCAUCUCCCCCGUCCGUGUACAAUUUAUUCUAGUGCUCGACUCGGUGUUCGUCUCAACAAAACCUAACAUGUCGGUGCGAAAUUCUGCUAGCCAGCUUGACCAUUUGCUUUGGAAGGAGUAAUUCAACUCAGAAAGGACAAAUGAUUGGCGACUAUUUUUUCCCUACAAUCUCUUUAGGUUCAGUGGACAUGUAUGCUGAAUAUCCCCUCACUAGACAAGAUUGGAUUUUAAUCUAUACAAGCCAUCCUCUCAGCUGCUCAGAAAAUCUAUAAUGUUAUUUGCAGUGGUGAUGAUAGCGGGUCUUCCGAAUCGCUUCCUCAGCCUAACAACGCAGCCUACAAACCAACUUUUAUCAACAUCAGUAAUGAUGCUGGCCCUUCGCACCGUCGCCUGAAAGCCAAGAAAAAGAAAAGAAAAAGGAGCACACAUUGCAUGAGCCGGGAGACGAGUUCGUGAACGAGGAACCUGUUGAGUACGCUUACGAGGAUCAAGCUUUCGACAACUCUGAGAACCUUGCAGG